rnacentral:antisense_RNA from 1 species
CUCAGUUCCUGGCUGAGCAGCUGCUAUAUUUAAGCAAACAUUCAAGUUAAUUAAGAUGUGAUAAUCAUAUAUACCAAACUAAAGUCUCAAAAAAUUCCUAUAAUAAAAUUAAUCUUUUUAUUUUCCAUGAUCUCAACCUUUAUUUCUCACCCAUUAAGUGAAGAUAAAAUGGAAGUACUUUUUUUUUUUGAGACAGGGUCUCACUCUGUUGCCCAGGCUAUUUUUAAAGGGAAAUCAGGAAAUAGGUAAGGUAGGAACAUCAAAAGAAGAGCAAUAAGCUGUGUGCAGUGGUGCACUCCUAGUCCCCCAGCUACUCAGCAGGCUGAGGCGGUAGGACUGCUUGAGCAUAGGAAUUUGAGGCCAGCCUGGGCAACACAGUGAGACUCUCCCAUCUGUUCACCAAAAUAAAUAAAUAAAUAAUAAAUAAAGAAGCAGUGUAACCCAGAAAAGGGAAAGGAACUUUGCACUGCUGGAGAAAAACAAAUAGGAAAAUGCUGUUCUCAGAACAGGAACCAAGGCUUUCUGACGAAGAAGAAACCUUGGACUCUGGGAUGACCGCCACAAGUACCAACAGGUUUGAGGCAGCCUGGGAUGUGAUCCAGAGGAAAGCCACCACAGUGAAUACUAUGAAAAUGACUGUGUUUCCCUGCAUGGCUAACUGGAAACUCAGGAUAUUUGCUGGAAAAAACAAAAGACUCUGUUGAUCCUUUUCAUUCCUGCUGACUGUGCAACUUGUAAUCUGCAGUUUGAAUGAUAACAGCAUAAGACCUGGGAACCGCCUAUAAUAAAGCAGUGUGCCAGAAA